GGAUUGGGGGUGACCUUAGCACAAUGUUGUGUGGCAAUAACUGCCUGGUCUUCUCCCUCUCUCUUCCUCCCUCACUGCUCCGUGUACAUCCCUCCGGGAGCUGCACCCUCCAUUGAAGUGGCCGGACUUCCCCAAGCAAAGGAAGACCCUCUUUCAGUCAAGGGUGUACCAGUAGCUGGGUUGCUCUGCUAGAACCUCCAAACAUGUUCUCAAGCUCAAUUACCUUUUGAUACCACUUUCCCACAGUUUUUGAGGUACCUUUAUAUGUAUGUUCAACUUUGU
rnacentral:snRNA from 1 species